rnacentral:rRNA from 1 species
UGAACUCGCUGUGAAGAUGCAGUGUACCCGCGGCAAGACGGAAAGACCCCGUGAACCUUUACUAUAGCUUGACACUGAACAUUGAGCCUUGAUGUGUAGGAUAGGUGGGAGGCUUUGAAGUGUGGACGCCAGUCUGCAUGGAGCCGGCCUUGAAAUACCACCCUUUAAUGUUUGAUGUUCUAACGUUGGCCCCUGAUCGGGGUUGCGGACAGUGUCUGGUGGGUAGUUUGACUGGGGCGGUCUCCUCCUAAAGAGUAACGGAGGAGCACGAAGGUUGGCUAAUCCUGGUCGGACAUCAGGAGGUUAGUGCAAUGGCAUAAGCCAGCUUGACUGCGAGCGUGACGG